rnacentral:rRNA from 1 species
CGAUUACGGCUCAGUAACACGUAGUUAAUCUGCCCUUAGGUUAAGGAUAAGCACGGGAAACUGUGUCUAAUACUUAAUAGAAGUUUGGUACUGGAAAGUCCUUACUUCGAAACAUUCGGCCUAAGGAUGAGACUGCGCCUGAUUAGCUUGUUGGUGGGGUAACUGCCUACCAAGGCUGUGAUCAGUAGGGGCUCUUAGCGGAGUGGCCCCGAGAAGGAAUCUGAGACACUAUUCCUAGCUCUACGGAGUGCAGCAGCUGCGAAUCUUUUACAAUGCACGAAAGUGUGAUAAAGCGAGCCAAAGUGCUUAUCAUUUAGAUAAGCUUUUCUUUAGUGUAAAAACCUAGAGGAAUAAGGACUGGGAAAGACCGGUGCCAGCCGCCGCGGUAAUACCGGCAGUUCGAGUGGCAUCCAGCUUUAUUGGGUCUAAAACAUCCGUAGCUUGCUAUUUAAGUCCUUUGUGAAAUCUAAUGUCUCAAGCAUUAGGCUUGCAGGGGAUACUGAAUAGCUAGAGACCGGUAGGCGUAAGGAGUACGGGCAAGGUAAUGGUAAAAUAUGUGAAUCUUGCUUGGACUAACGAUUUAGGCGAAGGCUC